rnacentral:rRNA from 1 species
CCUACGUGAGGCAGCAGUGGGGAAUAUUGGGCAAUGGGCGCAAGCCUGACCCAGCAACGCCGCGUGAAGGAAGAAGGCUUUCGGGUUGUAAACUUCUUUUCUCAGGGACGAAGAAAGUGACGGUACCUGAGGAAUAAGCCACGGCUAACUACGUGCCAGCAGCCGCGGUAAUACGUAGGUGGCAAGCGUUAUCCGGAUUUACUGGGUGUAAAGGGCGUGUAGGCGGGAAAGCAAGUCAGAUGUGAAAACCAUGGGCUCAACCUGUGGCCUGCAUUUGAAACUGUUUUUCGUGAGUACUGGAGAGGCAGACGGAAUUCCUCGUGUAGCGGUGAAAUGCGUAGAUAUGAGGAGGAACACCAGUGGCGAAGGCGGUCUGCUGGACAGCAACUGACGCUGAGGCGCGAAAGCGUGGGGAGCAAACAGGAUUAGAUACCCCGGUAGUC